AUACUUACCUGGCAGGGGAGAUACCAUGAUCACGAAGGUGGUUUUCCCAGGGCGAGGCUUAUCCAUUGCACUCCGGAUGUGCUGACCCCUGCGAUUUCCCCAAAUGUGGGAAACUCGACUGCAUAAUUUGUGGUAGCGGGGGACUGCGUUCGCGCUUUCCCCUG
rnacentral:snRNA from 3 species